rnacentral:sRNA from 1 species
UAUAUAGCUUUUUUGAAUAGUAAAGAAACUCUCUUCAAAGUUUCUUAUAUAAGGUAUUUUAGCACUUUAGAAAGAAUUUCUUCAAUAUUUAAGAAAACCACACAUUUUUUAUUAGUAUAUUUUCUAUCUCUAAAUUAAGAAACUUAUGUUUGGAAACUACCAAUGGGGUUGCUCUUAGACCAUCCCCAUUGGACAAAUUUAGAGGGUGUUUUCAAAUUUUAACAGAAUAAAAAAAUAGACAAAUGAGAAUUAAUGCACUGAACAGGAGAAACACGGUGACUUUAAUGUCUGUGAGAAGACAUUUUUUGAUAUUGGAAGACACGAAUGUGUCACCAUGCUAUUGGUUGGUGCUACUGUUUUCUAUUUUUUUCCUUCAUUUGGCCAACAAAUUUUUCUCUCUUUUCAUUUUGCCAAUAAAUUUUUCUCUCUUUAUUUGACCAAUAAAUUAUAGUUAAGACAUUCAAUAUAAA